rnacentral:rRNA from 1 species
UACGGAGGAUGCAAGCGUUAUCCGGAUUUAUUGGGUUUAAAGGGUGCGUAGGCGGAUAUGUAAGUCAGCGGUGAAACUCACAGGCUCAACCUGUGCCGUGCCGUUGAAACUGUGUAUCUGGAAUGCGGAUGCUGUGGGAGGAAUGUGUAGUGUAGCGGUGAAAUGCAUAGAUAUUACACAGAACACCGAUUGCGAAGGCAUCUCACAAAGCCGUUAUCGACGCUGAGGCACGAAAGUGUGGGGAUCAAACA